UAUACGUUAAAACCAGCUAAUUAUAAAACUGUUAAUAGAAGCAAUUAUUAAUUUCGAAAAAAGCGCUCAUCUGUAUGUGAUAUUAAAUUAACCGCCUUUACAUUGAGUCAAGGGUCAGCUUUAAGAUUUGGCUCCAAAUCGUUUCUUACAAUUAUUUGUUGAUUAAAGUAUAAAUUUAAUAUUUUUUUCCGUUUAAAUUAAUUAUUCUCGUCUCUGUUUUGGUAUUUUGAUUGUUUGCUAAUUAAAUUAUCUUAUAAUUGGUAACUAAGUUCAGUUCAAGUUUUUUCUCUGCUAUUUUCCAUUCUUUUGUCUUUUCUCAGCCAACUGUUUAAAUGUGUUUACAUUUUGAUUUACUCUUUUUGUGACCUUAUAACCAUAAUUAUUGUGAUUAAAAUUACCAUUGCUGUCAGUAUUAUUGAAAUCAUUAAUAGUCAUCUUCUGCCACUGCAAUGUGGCAGAAAAAAGGAAACGUGGUUCGAGUUAACACUGUGAUUAGUAUGUCUCAGGUUGAUCAGUUUAUUCAAAAGGGAAAAUGUUAAAGUUAAUGUGAAUUACUGCAUUGAAAAUGGCUCUGAUAUUUUCUGCAUUGAACGUGACUUUCCACCAAAACUUGCCAGUAUCACUGUACUGAAUGAAUGUACACAAAGACAUGGUUGGAAGCAGCAAAAAUUAUCAUUUUUCUGAUAAAAAAAGUGAAACUUCCAGAGACAUUGCUGUAUAUUACAAUUCACCUGUUCCCUUCAUUAUUAUUUCAAUCCAUUAUUAAUAUCAUUGUCUGUCCAUCCAUUGGUUUUCAUCUGUAAAGGACUUCAAUUUUACCCAGGACAGGCAGCUCAAUUAGAUUGAAAUUUAAAUUAAAUCACUUUGGAUUACUUUGAUAUCUUGGAUUACCUUUUGAAUUACCCUGGAUUGCCUGCUUAACUUGAAUUGUACGUGCAAUUGUUUUCACCUCCUCAACACUCAAAUCUCUCAAUGGUUACUAACCUUUAAUGCCCAGCCAAUGCUUUAAGUGUUAAUUAUUCAAUCGAUUGAAAGUGUCUCUCAAGUUUACAAUCAAACAAUUGGAAGACCACCAAUUUAAAGGCUGUUUUAAAUAAUUACAAUGUACUUCUAUUAACAAGCAUUUCUGUUGUCACCCUCAUCACAGUGUUGAUCCUUUUUUAAUGAACCUUUUUGAUUGACUGGUUUCAUUUAAGAUCUCAACCUCAUAAUUACCAGCAUUACAUUUCCAGCCGAUUAAAUCGUGAAAAGAUGAAACUCAAUUCAAACUAAUUAACUCACUGAAUUUAUCAUUGACUUUUCAUUUAGUCUACUUUACCUUCCUCUCUCCAUUGUUGAUCCUGAGUUGUCUGAGUAAUCGAUUUGCUGGAUAAAUGCCUUUUCUGUGUACUAGACUUUAGUUUGUUUUUUUUGUUAACCAUCAUUAAAUUGUCAUUUUGAUUGUCUCAUCUAA